UCACAUUAAAUGUUGUUAUUAUUUUAGUUAGUGUUUGUUUUGGUAUAGUUUUGUUCAAUAAUUGGUUACUGUUCAUAUAUUUUCUGUUGAUAAUUGCUUGAAAUUUGCUUCAAUUAAUUUUAUAUCUUUUUGUAUUUGAUUAUUGUUCAUAUGAUUUUGUUCUAUAUGUAAGUUAUUAUAUUGUAGGAUUCGGUUGUUAUUAUUGUUUAUUUGUUAGGUUUGACUAAUGAAAAAAUUUCUCCGUCGGUUUUAGAGGCCUAC
rnacentral:lncRNA from 1 species